CUUCCACUGUCACGUCUAAGAGAGGAAUUCAUCCUCAGUUGACCAGGUAUCAAUAGGUUACCCUCUGAUUUAUUAUGGUUCUCAACUCAAAAAUGAUUCAAAAAGUUUUUUUCCCAUACCUUAAUAUUUUUAGAUACUUCCUUAAAUUUAAAUUGAGGGCAACAUGGUGUCAAAACCCUGAGAAGCACCAUGAGUAAGCGGGAGUGGUGCCAGUAAUGUGUACAUUCUUAGGCACUAUCAGAAGUACGGGAAACAAAUGCCUUGCAGCUUAUCUAAAUUUCUAAGCUCCAAAUAUGGGUUCCUACGGACAUUCAGUUUAAUUUGUAAAAUGAAUAUGUGUGACUAAGGGUACAUGAGAGGAGAGGGGUGUUUCCUGAUGAUAAUUUUUUAGAUUUAUAUUGAUUACAAAUUUUAUGUAGGACCAUUAAUUGUCGUUGAAGUGAGAACAAAUCAUCGACAUUUACUGCGAUCUGGCCCUCCGCGAUAUGCUUGAUAAUAAUAUGUCCAACGUAUCAACCGUUAGGGUCGAGCUUUCUUUGUGUUCUUCCCGGCCAUCUUCACAAGGCUUUGAUUGAC
rnacentral:lncRNA from 1 species